UACAUGGGGUGCAAACGUUGCUCGGAAUUAUUGGGCGUAAAGCGCGCGUAGGCGGUUAUUCAAGUCGGGUGUGAAAGCCCUCGGCUUAACUGAGGAAGUGCACCCGAAACUGAGUAGCUAGAGUACCAAAGAGGGUCGCGGAAUUCCCGGUGUAGAGGUGAAAUUCGUAGAUAUCGGGAGGAACACCGGUGGCGAAGGCGGCGACCUGGGUGGAUACUGACGCUGAGGCGCGAAAGCGUGGGGAGCAAACAGG
rnacentral:rRNA from 1 species